AACGCUAGCUACAGGCUUAACACAUGCAAGUCGAGGGGCAGCACAGUGUAGCAAUACACGGGUGGCGACCGGCGCACGGGUGCGUAACGCGUAUCCAACCUUCCCGAUACUCAGGGAUAGCCUUCCGAAAGGGAGAUUAAUACCUGAUGGUGUUCAAAUUCCGCAUGUUAUUUGAACUAAAGAUUUAUCGGUAUCGGAUGGGGAUGCGUGACAUUAGAUAGUAGGCGGGGUAACGGCCCACCUAGUCUACGAUGUCUAGGGGUUCUGAGAGGAAGGUCCCCCACACUGGAACUGAGACACGGUCCAGACUCCUACGGGAGGCAGCAGUGAGGAAUAUUGGUCAAUGGUCGGAAGACUGAACCAGCCAAGUAGCGUGAAGGAUGAAGGUUCUAUGGAUUGUAAACUUCUUUUAUACGGGAAUAAAACCUCCCACGUGUGGGAGCUUGUAUGUACCGUAUGAAUAAGCAUCGGCUAACUCCGUGCCAGCAGCCGCGGUAAUACGGAGGAUGCGAGCGUUAUCCGGAUUUAUUGGGUUUAAAGGGAGCGUAGACGGGAUGUUAAGUCAGUUGUGAAAGGCUGCGGCUCAACCGCAGCACUGCAGUUGAUACUGGCGUCCUUGAGUGCGGUUGAGGUGUAUGGAAUUCGUGGUGUAGCGGUGAAAUGCUUAGAUAUCACGAAGAACUCCGAUUG
rnacentral:rRNA from 1 species